GGAUGAACGCUAGCGACAGGCUAACACAUGCAAGUCGAGGGGCAGCAAUAAAAGUAGACAAUACGUUGGUGGCGACCGGCGCGACGGGUGAGUAACGCGUAUGCAACCUACCUAUCAGAGGGGAAUAACCCGGCGAAAGUCGGACUAAUACCGCAUAAAACAGGGGCACCGCAUGGUGAUAUUUGUUAAAGAAAUUCGCUGAUAGAUGGGCAUGCGUUCCAUUAGGUAGUUGGUGAGGUAACGGCUCACCAAGCCGACGAUGGAUAGGGGAACUGAGAGGUUGGUCCCCCACACUGGUACUGAGACACGGACCAGACUCCUACGGGAGGCAGCAGUGAGGAAUAUUGGUCAAUGGGCGGGAGCCUGAACCAGCCAAGUCGCGUGGAAAAGGAAGAAGGAUCUAUGGUUACGUAAACUUCUUUUGCAGGGGAAUAAAGUGCAGGACGUGUCCUGUUUUGUAUGUACCCUGAGAAUAAGGAUCGGCUAACUCCGUGCCAGCAGCCGC
rnacentral:rRNA from 1 species